UACGGGGGGGGGUAAGCGGUUGUUCGGAAUUACUGGGCGUAAAGGGCGCGUAGGCGGUUUUGCAAGCCAGAGGUGAAAUGCCUGAGCUCAACUUAGGAAUUGCCUUUGGGACUGCGAGGCUUUGAGGACUGGAGAGGUGAGUGGAAUUCCCAGUGUAGAGGUGAAAUUCGUAGAUAUUGGGAAGAACACCAGUGGCGAAGGCGGCUCACUGGCCAGUUUCUGACGCUGCAGCGCGAAAGCGUGGGGAUCAAACAGG
rnacentral:rRNA from 1 species